rnacentral:lncRNA from 1 species
CAACCAAUAUCCAAAUGCAUCCAUAUAUAUUUUAACAUCAAAACCAGCAUCCAAAUUCAAAGAUAAGUCAGACAACCAACAUCCACCAAGUCACACAAAUAGAAACAACAAAGACAAAGUGUCAACAACUCAACAUUCAAGAGAAUGUCUUCAACAGGCAAUGUCAAUUGUCAAGAAAUAAUCAUACUUAAAAAAGUGAAACAAAUUUUGCAAUUAAAGCAAUAAAACAACAACUUCUUGUCCAUUCCACGAUAAUCCUUUCCAACUUUCCAAUUUCAACUGCAGGCCCUAUAAAAAAAAUAAUAAUUUAAGUAAUAAAAUAGUAGUGGUAAAAUCUAAAACAAGAUAUUUGAAGAGGAAUCGAAGUGUUAAACACAAAUAAUGUACCUUUCCAAUUAUCACAUUCAUUUUAUGGGAAAUAGAAUCUCUUUUGCUGCCUUCAAUUUCUGCAAAAUAAUAAUAACAAUAACAAUAACAAUAAGUAAUAAACUAAUUUUGUUUUAAUAACAUGAAUUUGAAAUAAACUUACUUUUAUCUUUUUUUUCACUCCAUGAAUGUUUCGGCACCAAUCUCCGGCACACAUAAGCAUUUCUAUAGUUUCAGGAGCUAGUGAGGCUCUAUAAGAGUCAAUUACUCUUGUUCCUUGCAUUAGAGGAAUCUGCCCCUGACAUGACUCGAUUGGAAUAAGAUUCAAGUGCGGUUAUGGGCUGACCUGAAAAUAAAAGAAAUUUUAGCUGAUUUUCGAAUCAAAAGCUGCACUUGGAUGAGAAAAAAGAGCUAAUUCUAACUAGUACAACGAAUUCCAUAACGAGUUCAUCCCAGUAGUUGAACAUUUUUAACUAAUACAGCAAAUUCCUAUAAUACAAGGAAAUUUAAUAAUGAAGAUAAAAAAAAAUUAUACUUAACAAACCUGAAAAUAAUCAAGAGGGUUAAAAAAGAACUAUAGCAGGCAUUGCACCAGUCAUAGAUAAUUUUAAGUUGGUUGCUUUUCUUUUUCUUCCAAGAGUUAAUAAAGAUUGAGAAUAAAAACUAGAACGAACUAAAACUAACUUCAAUGACCAGAGAUUAAAAGCUAAUUGAAUGAUUUUUCCUUUUAUAUCAGUUAAUAGAAGCCUUUUAACAACGAAUAAAUUUCUUCAAGAAAUGUAUUAAAGAAAGAACUGAUGGAAGUAUGAAGUAAAAAUUGGUUGUGGAAUCUGAACUCUUACUUUAGCAAAAGUUUGAAUAAUCUAAAACAUGUGGGUUAAAAUAUUAUGGAUACUAUCCCAUUUUACUGGACCUCCAUUAAUUCUCAAUACCCAGGAAAAGAGAACAAAGUUUUUCCUACACUCUGUCAUGGCAAUAGUCUUAAAUUCGCUGCUACUUUUAUCUCAGAAUACUGCCAGUCACAAACACACUCGCGCACUCAACCGUUUUCACAUAAACUACAAAAGAACAGGACAACCUUCCCAAAACUUUGAACAAGUUUAAACAGAGGUUUAAAGGAAUCAUAUCAAUUGCUGAUUAUAUAGGAGUAUGGGAAAUUCAAAACUUUUCCCUUCGUUACCAUCUGUUGACUUCUACCAGGUUUCCCAUUCUGGAUGCAGAGUCUUUACUAACUCUGAGCCUCCAGGGUGGAGUAGUAAAGAAGCAAAUCUAACUAGACAAUAGAAGAGACAAAGCAAAGCUGACAAAAACAUUUAAAUUUAAAGCUCGCAAAAACAUUUAAAGCUCGAGCUCUUCCCUUCGCAAACAGGAAGCAAAACUGUCGGUGGUUUUCUUUUUCUUUCUUCUUUUUUUUUCCAACUACUACCAGUAUUUGUGUCGUAAUCGCCUUCAUUGCUACUGUUUUGCAGCAGAAAACCAUUUCCGGACGUGUUGCUACUGCUAAUUUAGUAAAAGAAAACCAUUGCUACUCUAAUUUAGUAAAUAUCUUUUGCCGGAAGCGUACAGAUUAUGAACCCUAGUUAUGCGCCUAUUUUGCUAAGAUUUAUUCAGUGAAUCAUACUCCAGAGAUCACAGAAUUUAAGCCAAACCUUAUAAAAUGAAAAUGACGAGGUUGCGACGAAGCUGGGACCAGCCAAAUUACUUAAGGAUAACAUCUUACCUGCUGCACGAGCAGCACGACUGCACCUGCUUCAAGAUCCAAGAAUUCCAAGCUCCCGGUCGCCGCACGCCUGCACCGACUGCACAAUCCAAAUGGGUGGAGUAGCAACAACAAAAUGAAACGGUUGGAGCUAGCAACCCAAAUGGGUUUGAUUUGAAAUUGGAAUUAGGGAUUGAGGUGAGGAAUGGGGAUUGAGGAAUAGGUAAUUAGAGACAGCCGUGCACUGAGGUGAGGAAGAAGAAAGAAGACGGCGUUUUUUGACAGAGAUUGAAU